rnacentral:rRNA from 1 species
UACGGGGGGAGCAAGCGUUGUUCGGAUUUACUGGGCGUAAAGGGCGCGUAGGCGGCCACCGCAAGUCGACUGUGAAAUCUCCGGGCUUAACCCGGAAAGGUCAGCCGAUACUGCGGGGCUAGAGUGCAGAAGGGGCAACUGGAAUUCUCGGUGUAGCGGUGAAAUGCGUAGAUAUCGAGAGGAACACCUGCGGCGAAGGCGGGUUGCUGGGCCGAACACUGACGCUGAUGCGCGAAAGCCAGGGGAGCGAACGGG